UCGGGUGUUGCAGAUAAGUGGGGAGAGGAACGUGGAGAAGGAAGACAAGAAUGAUACGUGGCACCGGGUUGAACGGAGCAGCGGCAAGUUCAUGAGGAGGUUCAGGUUGCCUGAGAAUGCCAAGAUGGAUCAGGUUAAGGCUUCCAUGGAGAAUGGGGUGCUUACUGUCACUGUACCCAAGCUGGAAGUUAAAAAGCCUAAUGUUAAGGCUGUUGAGAUUUCUGGCUAAAAAUUUGCAACUUUUGAACCAGUUUACUUGAAAUUGUAUGUUUGAAGCUUGAAAUAAGUGACUUUUAUGUAUGAAUGUGGGAUUAAGUUGUGCAACUUGACCUGCAGUGAAUAAAACCAUCUUGUUAAUUCAUAAGUUAUCCCUUUUCACUCUAUUAAUUAUUAAUUUUCUUAUUUAACAAAAUGUUUUUCAUUCUUUAAUAACCCAAAAUUCUAUUUUUUUAGAAUCUAAAAUUCUAAUCUUAAAUUGAUGGUAAGGUUAAAUUUUUUACUUAAUUAUUAACUUUUUAAAUUAAAUAUUCUAAUAAUUCUCUCGGGAAACUGAUAUAAUUUUUUAUUAAUGUAAAAAUAAAUUUAAUUUAAUUUGUAAAUUUUAUUAAUUUAUAUCUUUUUAAAAAAAUUAAAAAAUCGAGUUAAUUUCUCAAUAAAAGUUUUGAAACUUUAUAAAAUUCAGAAAAUAUAAAAAUAAAAAAUAAGUCUAGAAAUUACCGAGUUAGAAAGAUGACAGUCAACUGCUAAAUUUAUAAAUCUACGUGGAUAUUUGAAAUUCAAUAUUUAUAUUUAAAAAUUAAUAAUAAUUUUUAUUAAGUUUGUAAUAAUUUACUUUCUUAAUUGUAUAGUAAUUUAUUUGGCCUUUUAAUUUUAUAAAAAAAUUAUUUUAUUUUUUGGUUUUUUUAGUUUUUAAAUUUUUUAUUCUAAAAUGAAUGAAAAUAGUUAAUUUUUUUUAACUUUUGCUGAUGUUACAUAUGCAUAAAAUCUCAUGUCAGUGACAUUUUAACAUUUAAUUAAUUUUUUAAAUUUAAAAAUUCAAAAAAGUUAUAAAACUAUUUUUAAAAAUUAAACAUCAUUAAAAUCUAUAAAAAAUAUUUUUAAAAUUUAAAAAAUUAAUUAAAUGUUAACGUGUCAUUUAUAUGGCAAUCUAUGUGUAUGUUACGUAAGUAAAGUUAACAAACGUUAAUUUUUCUAUCUAUUUUAAGAUGAUUUGAUAAAAAAAUACAAAUUCAAUAACUAAAAGAGGCGAGAAAAUAAAUAGAAGGUUAAAAUAUUUUUUAUAAAGUUGGAGGGAAAAAUCAUUAUACCAAAAAAACAACAAAAAAAACAACCAUAAUUGGAUUAGAAUUUUUAAAUAAGAAAAUAGAAAAUAUCAUAAUUCAAGUUAAAAUUUUUUUACAUAUUUUUAAUAUUUCGUAAUAAUUAAUAAUUUAUAUAGUAUUACCAUUUUUAAUAAUUUUUAGAUUUUUUAACAACUAUUUAUAAUUAUUUAACAUUUUUAAGAAGGGAUUAUUUGAUACACUGGUAGUAUAUUUUUUUUAUUCCACAAACAGUUUUAAAAAAUUUGACACGUGUCUUUUUUUUUAAAUAUUUUACUAUACCCUUAUAAUACACUUGUCAACCCUAACCUUACUUGUAGAGUUUAAAAACUCUACUGAUAAUAUACCAAAUAAUUCUCCUUUUAAUAAAUAUUUGAAAUUUACAUUUAGAAUUUAUCUAAAUUCAUUAUAGAUGUAAAUGUUUUUGUUAAUACUUUUAGUAUUUUCCUUUUUGAAUAUAUGUUGAAGUAAUUAUUCACAAAUCAUACCAUGUGACAAUUUGGUCAAUCACAUUAAUAUUAUUAAUAAUAAAAUUGGUUAAUUAACGAUGUUAAAUAAAAUUGGUUAAUUAACGAUAUUUUUAACGGAAUAACUUAAUUAAUUAUUUUUUUUUGUUAUAACAACUCAAUUGAGUACAUUAUUUUAAGAACUCAAUUGAUUUUUUUUUUAAAAAAUUAACUAAAAACUUCUGACUUUUUAUUUAAUUAUGGUUUUGAUUUUAAUGCAUUCAAGGAGGAAAAUGAUCACAUGGGAAAUUAUUAAUUAUUUAUUUUUUGAAAAGUAUUUUUAAAAAGUGCAUGAAUAAGUGCUCUAAGAUUUAAGAUUUAAGUGUUUAAUAUUAUAGUUAAAAAGUACCUUCAAAAAAUAAAAUGUUCAUUUUAAAUAUGAUAUAAUAAACUAAAAAAAAUUAAGCAUUUAAAUACUAUUUAAAUUCGUUAUAUUACAAUAUCUCAAUAAAAUAUAAAAAAUAAUUUACUAUAACUCAUUGUUAAUAUUUCAAUAUAUGAAAUACAAAUUUAAAUACUUUGAAGUAAAUAAUAUUAAUUAUUUAUAAAGUUUAAUUUGAAUAUAUAAAUUAUAUUUUAAAUAUUAAAAUAUAACCAUUAAGAAUUUAAAUAUAUAAUUUAUAUAUUUGAAAUAAAUUUCAAUAAAAAUAAUUUUACAUCUAAUAUAAAUAUUACAUAAGAUACAUUGAAUUAUAAAUAAAUGUUAAAAAUGUCAUUUGAAUCUAAAAAUAUUUUUUUUUUCAAACGCAAAAGCUAAAAAAGAACUUUUUUUACCUUUUGAUUCAUAAGCACUUUUCAAAUGUAUUUUAACUCUAAAAGCUAUUUGUUUAGCAUUGUUUAUGACUUUAAAAAUACAUUUAACGCUAAAAGUACUUUUAAAAAGUAAUGUUAAAUACACUUAACUAAACAUGGUUAAAUUUGAUAUGAUAGGAGAAUCAUUUACACUACAAACCUUACAUGGUUAAUUGUAAAUACAGGAGGCAUGGUGUAACUAUGAAUGAUUUGGAGAUAUGAGUUGAAUCUUGGUUUGCAAAACUAUCCUAUAUACUUUCAAAAUAAGAUAAAAUUAAGGGGGAAUUCUAGUUUUCAUUACCAUAGAUUUAAUUUGUACAUAUCUAUUUUGUGUCAAUUUUUUAGUCAAAUCGAAUUAGAUAAAAUCUUUAAAUAAGUUGUGAAACUAUCUCAAAAUAAAUUAUUUUUCAUUCACUAGACUUAAAUUCAAGGGUCAUUGAAUUAUUUACCACUUGACCCAAUAAAAACUGCUUUAAUAUUUAUACUUUAAUUUUGUAUACUUUUUAUCUCUAUUUUUUUUAAAAAUGAAUAUUUUUAAAUUUUUAUAAAAUUAUUAAUUAAUCAAAAUAAUUAAUAUCACUUGACCCAAUAAAAAUUGCUUUAAUCUCUAUGUUUUAAUUUUGUAUACUUUAAAUUUAAAUGUCUGUUAUUUCCUAGCACGUCUCUGUCUGCGUUCCUUAGUAGGUCUCUGUUUGAAUUUGUUUUUGUGUUUUUCCUCUCUUUGGGGCUGGUGUCGACAAAAUCUUCUACUUUCAACGAUUUACUGGCUUUUUCUUCUAUUCAAAAUUGGUUUCCUUUGGCUUUUGGUAAAAGUACUGGAUCUCGGUAACAUUGAGAAGGGUCUGCAGAUCUCUUAUUAGAUGAUAAGGAGGACGAAGUUCUGCAAGCACAAAGAGAUCCGGAGUCAGUAGACCAGGAUGUUGAUUUUUGCUUGGUUAGUUACUUUUUGACAGCUAGUGUUAUAAACUUCUCGGCGAUGAGAGGCACGAUAGCAAACCUUUGGCAUCCAAAGAGGUCCAGAUCUCAGAUCUAGGGGAGAAGAGGUUUCUAUUUAAAAUUUUUUCAUAAGAUAGAUUUAGAGAGAAGGGUUCUCCAUGGACUUUUAAUAAUUAUCUAUUGUUACUUCAUUGGCUAGUGGAAGGGGAAGAUUCGCUAAGGGUGUCAUUAAUUUAUGCAAACUUUUGGGUUCAAAUUUAUAGAGCGCCAACGAGAUUUUAUAUAGAGAAUCUAGCACACCAAAUUGGGGAAUUUUUUAGGGGUUUUUUGGAGUUCGAUGGAACUAACUUGGGAAAGGGUUUAUGCACUAAAUUACGAGUAAGGGUUCAAUUGGACGUUAGGAAACCCUUAAAAAAAAGGAAAAAGAUCAUGUUUUCAGUUGGGGUGACUUCUUAUAUUAAGUUUCAAUACAAACACCUGACUCUUUUUUGUUUCUUUUACAGAGAUAGAUCACGAUUUGGAAGACAUUACAAUUAUAGGUGGAGAUGGUAAAAAGCGACCUAGAAGGGAGGGCGUCAAUCUUGUUGAGGGAGGGGAGUUGGGCUCAUUGAUGGUCAAAAGUAGGAAAGAAACCGGAGAUAAUUUUUUUAUAUCGACGGCUGCCAAAGGGGAAGCCAACUGGUCACAAUGAAAACUUUUUGCUAAAACGUCCGUGGUUUGGGGAGGCCAAUGAGCGUUAAAAGACUUUGGCAUAUGCUGAAGAUGUAUAAUCUGUAGAUUGUUUUCCAUAUGGAGACAAAGCUAAAUUCUACAAUGAUGAAGAAUGUUCGUAGAAAAUGUGGUUUUCUUAAUGGGAUUGAUGUUGGAAUUGAUGGUUCAAUAGGGGGUUUGAGUCUUGCAUGGAGAGGGAAUUUCACGAUUACUUUGAGGAGUUUCUCAAAAAAUCAUAUUGAUACGGAAGUUGUGGAAGGGGAAGAGGGUAGUAAAUGGAGGUUUACGGGUUUCUAUUGGGGCCCUAACGUACGUAAUAGAGAGGACACUUGAACUUUAUUAAAGACUUUAGGCCAGUCCCAAAAUCUCCUUUGGUUUGUGGGAGGUGAUUUUAAUAAAAUUCUAUAUUCUUUUGAAAAAAAAGGGGGGCUACAUAGGGAGGAAAGACAAAUGGAAGCUUUUAGGGAGGCCCUGAAUGAAUGCAGAUUGAUUAAUGUUAGGGAGAGAAGUAACUUUCCAGAAACUAAUAUUAGGGAGAGGUUUGACAAGGGGUAGGGAAUGAUAGCUGGAUGUGUAUGUUUCCCAAUGCAAUGUUGCGUCAUCUCUCACAUUCUUUUUUUGAUCACUGCCCGCUUCUUUUAUAGACAGAGACUGAUAUGGACAAUUGCCAGUUUAAGAGCUUUCAGUUUGAAUCAUGGUGGAUACUAGAAGAGUCUUUUGAACAGAAGAUUAAGGGCCUUUGAGGGGAAGGUGAUGAACAUGUCCUAACUAAGCUUGACAAGGUUCAAAGAGGUUUAAGACAGUGGGUGCAAAUGAUUAGAAACACGAAAUGGAGGGUUAAGAACGAAUUAUUUAGAAAACUGGAAAUACAAUUAUAAGGCAAUAGAGAUUAUGACAACCUUGCAGAGCUGAUUGAUACAAAAGUUCAAUUGAAUUUGGAGAUUGACAAAGACAAGUUAUUUUGGGAACAAAAGGCAAGGGCAAAUUGGCUACGAUUUGGUGACAAGAAUACCGCUUUCUUUUGUAACUUUACUUCCCAAACAAUGAGAACGAAUAGAAUAAGUGGGUUAUAAAAGAAGGAUGGAGGGAUUGAAAGGGGGGAGGAGGAAUUGGAAACUAUCGCUAGGCACUAUUUUUAAUCUUUUUUUGAGUCUAAAGGGAUAGGGGAUAUGGAUCAUAUUUUGUCGGGAGUCAUUCCUUAUAUCUUUGAUGACUUAAAUGCUUUGUUAACAACGUCUUAUAAUGAACAAGAGGUUUUAGAGGCUUUGAAUGGUAUGAGACCUACGAAGGCUUCUAGGAAUGAUGGUUUCCUAGUAAUUUUCUUUCAAAGAUGUUGGCAUAUUAUUGGUAAGGAUAUCACUUCUUAUUGUUUGGAAAUUUUAAAUAAAGGUAAAACCUUAGCUCCUCUAAAUCUUACAAACAUUGUGCUUAUUCCAAAAAUUUCAUGCACGAUGAAUUUAGCGAAUUUUAAGCCUAUAAGUUUAUGCACGGUUCUUUAUCAGAUUAUAGCUAAACUGAUAGGUAAUCAUUUCCAAAGGGUUUUGAAGGAUUGCAUUGAUGGGGCCUAAAGUGCUUUUGUGCCAGGACGAUUAAUUUCUAAUAAUAUUUUAUUGGCCUAUGAAAUUUUACAUUCUUUUCGACAAAAAAGGGUAGGGAGAAAACAUUUUAUGGCUCUUAAGCUUGACAUGAGCAAGGCGUAUGAUAGAGUGGAAUGGGAAUUUUUGAGACAAAUAAUGGAGCGAAUGGGUUUUGCAAGCAGUUGGAUGGGAACAAUUAUAAGGUGUAUCUCUUUGGUCUCUUAUUCUCAGGUAUUGAAUGGGAGGGUGGGGAAGAGGUUUGUGUUGAGUAGAGGACUUCUCCAAGGAGACCCAUUAAGUUCUUUUUUUUCCUUAUUUGUAGUGAAGGUUUAUCUACUCUUAUGAGGUUGGCUUUGGGAAACGGGUUGAUCAAAGGAGCCAAAGCAAGUAGGAUGGGUCCAUAAAUUACACAUAUUUUAUUUGUAGACGACUGUGUACUUUUUGGAGAAGCUAAUAAUAGAGGGGCCAAUAAUUUAAAACGAAUUCUAAAGGAGUAUGAACUUUUUUCAGGUCAAUGUAUUAAUUACGAUAAAUCAAUCGUUUGUUUUAGUCCAAACGUGAAUAAAGAAGAUCAAAAUUGAAUAUAAAAAAUUUAGGGGGUUCAAUAAUCAAAUGAGAUUGAAAGAUAUCUAGGUAUUCCAAAUAUGGUUGGAAGGCGAAAGAAAAUUGCUUUCCAGAUAUUGAAAGAUCGAGUUAAAAAGAGGAUAGAUAAUUGGAGCACAAGGUUGUUGUCACAAAGAAGGAGGGAAGCUUUUAUUAAAGAGGUUUUGCAAGCUAUUCCAACAUAUACAAUGUCUUGUUUUCUAUUACUGAAGUGGCUUUGUAAGAAGUUGGAAGGCAUUAUUGCGCGAUUUUUGUGGUACAAGGGUCAUAGAAGGAAAUGCAUUCAUUAGUGUCAGUGGACGAAACUAUGUGAUCUUAAAAAAAAUGGUGGAUUGGACUUUCGUUGUUUAUCUUCUUUUAAUAUUGCAUUAUUAGCUAAGUAAAGGUGGCUCCUUAUUAAUAAUUCUGAAUCGUUGUUAAGCUACGUACUUAAAGCUAAAUAUUACACAAAUUGCGAUUUUUUGAAGGCUCGGUUAAGGGGUUUACCUUCUUAUACCUGGCUAAGUAUUUGGUCGACGAAGAACUUGCUGUAAUAAGGCAUUGGUUAGAGGGUUGGAAAAGGGAUCGAAUCUCAAUCGAAGAGGAUUCUUGGCUUGCUGGGGCUGCAAAUUACAAAGUAGAUGGAAUAGUUAAUGAUAUUAACUUAAUUACAGUUUAUGACUUGAUUGACCAAUCACGCAGGGUUUGAAAUGUGAAUCUUAUUAAAUGUACCUUCGAAGAGAAUGAUGCUAACCUAAUAUUGUGAAUCUUGUUGGCUAGAAUAGAGCACGAGGACUUAGUUAUGUGGCGAGGUGAACCAUCAGGCACCUUCUCAGUAAGGAGCGCAUACAAAAUUCUCCUCAAUAGUUACAGAAGUUCUUAUUUUACAAUUAUCUCAGUAGCCACUAAAUUAUGGAACUUAAACUUGACACAAAGUAGAAAAUUACAGUCUGUAAAAUUUCAUGAAAUUAUUCGCCUACUCUUACUAAUUUAUAUAGCAAAAGAAUUAGAACUCUUUUAGCCUAUCCUAGAUACAGAUAUGGCCCAAGAUCAAUCAAUCAUAUUUUUCGGGAAUGUAAAGUAUCAAAAGAGACAUGGAAUGAACUCAACUUGUCAUAAAUAAUAUCUCAAAUCUAGUUAAAUAUUCAAGAGUGGCUAACCUGGGUUUUUCAGACUGGCAUUGUAACACCCCUAACCCGUAUCCUUCGUUGGAAUAGAAUUUCAAAGCAUUACCAAAUAAAUGUAAUCUAUAAUUCAUUGGUUUCGAAACAUUUCAAUAAUUAUAAUAUAAUUCAUCCUUAAACAUGCAUAAAGUCCCUUAUUCAAGCCUUUGAGGGCCUAAAAUCACUUUAAAAACGAUUUGGGACUAAAUUGGGAACAUUUGAAGAUUUUAAGAAAAAGAAAAAUUUAAUUACAGGGGUCACACGGCCAAGUCACACACCUGUGUAAUGGCCCCAAAUUCUCGAGUCAACGUUCGAGUGUUGACUUGAUAUUUAUUUUGGAAUUAGGUUUUAUUAGAAUUAAUUUGGGUGAAUUUUGAACAUUUUUAUAAGAAAUUAAAGAUAUUGGGAAGCUUAUGUGAAAUAGGGGGAAGAUAGAUGGCUAAUAUGGUGAUUUUACUAUUUUUGAAUAAAAAUCUUCUCCCAAUUAAUGAGAAAAGAUGGGUUGGUAGAUUGAGGUAUGGGAUAAAGUAGAUUUGUCUCUAUUUUUCUCUAUAUUAUAAUCACUCUAUUGUUUUUUUUUUCCUUUUUACAUUUCUUCAUUUUUUUUUCUUCUUUUCUUUCUAUAUAUUUUUUUUCCUUAGCAAAGUCAUGUAGAGGGAGAGAGAUUUGAGUGAAUUCUCACCAUUUUUUUCAUCUUUCAAUUCUAAAAAAAGGUAGGAGUCUUGAUCUAUUUUAAAAAAAAGUUUCAAGGAAGAAAAAAAAAUAUCUAUGUUCAUUAAGGAUGAAAGUGGAGGUUUUUGGAUGUUUGGAAGGUUUUGAGUUUGAAGAAGUCUCUACCCAUCUUCUCAUAUUUUAUUUAUUUAUUUAAAGUAUGUAUUUUUACAUCUUAUCAACUCUUAUUUUUUUAUUUUUUUGUGGGAAAUCUUAUGUGUUACAUGGUUAUUAGUUAAAGAGGGUGGUGAAUCUUCUAAAGCUAAGGGUAAAGGCAAAGUGAUGGAGAGCUAGGCAAGAAACUUUGUAGGUGUUCUUCCAUCAAGGUGAUACCCUCUAACUCUCCUAUACUUCUUGAUAAGUCAUAAAUACGAUGCUUGUGUGAUAAUACAUGCAUCUUAUAUGUCUUUGGGUAGAAAUCUUGUUUGAAUGAUUUAAAAAUAAAGCUAAAAAUUUAGUUAUGAAAUUUGUUAAAAAUAAAUUAUUACAUGAACAGUAAGUUAAAAAAUUCACCAUAAAUUCUGUAAAAAUAAUUAAGAAGUGAUCUAUACAUAGUUGUAACCGUGAGUUAGUCUAGUUUCCUUUAGAACAAACAGAGAUCGAUUUUGAUUUAUAUUUUAAAAGAUAUAAAUUUUUUAGUGUUGAAAGGUCAUAAAAAUCUGGCAGUAAAAUUCUUAUAAAACAGAUUUAGCAGUGACUUUGAAAAAUCACCAAAAAUUUUACAAGAUAAAAUAGGAAGUGAGCCUUAUAUCUCUAUAACCUUACAAAAGUCUAGUUUCGUUUAAAACAAACGGUGCUCAAUUUAGAUUAUAUAUUAAGAGUUAUUACUUUUUUAAUGAAAAAAUAUCAGAAUGUCAAGGUGGUAGACUGUCACAUCUCAUUAGUUAAUAUUUUAACUGGAAUGAUAAGCAAGUUGAAACGAGCAUGAGACUCGAAUGUCAUGGUUGUAUUUUUUUGUGAUUAUAUGUUUGAUGUUUUGUUUGCGCUCAACCUUCGAACUUUAAAUUAACUAGCAGCCAUGAGUAGCGUUCGGGAUAACCCUACAGAUAUCCAGGAUUAUUUGACUAGCAGCCAUAAGUAGCGCGGGACUAUCCAGAUACCCAAUUAUUUGAGCAAUAUGUACAAUUUAACAAGUUUGACAGUUUGAUAGGCAAGCAAAUUGGUUAUGUAGAUUUAAUGACUCAUGAUUUAAUUAUUCGAUACUCAUGUCAUGUUUCUAUGUAUACAUUUGAUUUGCAUGCUUAUAUUUAUGAAUUACUUGAAGUAUGGUAUAUUUGUUGUGUACCACUGAGCUUUUAAAGCUCAGCCUUUAAAUUGUCUUAAUGUUCAGAUUUAUAGACUUUUGUUCGUGUUCGAGGAACGAGGAACAUCAUCGACGAGAGACUCCUAACAUCACGUAUUCAGAGUACAAUACCUUAUCUAUUAAUGGGUAUUGUAUUCCUAAGGCCUUGUAUUUUUUUGUAGAUCUGUAACUCAUUUAUCAUUUUUGUUAUUUUCACUAUUUUGAUAUACGAUGAUAUUGGAGCUCCACAUAUUUUGUAUAACUACUUUUAUUACUAUUUUUAGUAUAACUAUGUAUGUUAUUUUCUCUAAUAUAAAAUAUAUUUUAAUAUUUGAAAAUUAUUUGAAAAUUUUGCUAAAUUACUCCGGUGAGCUUAUGUAGCGUCUUAGUAUUAGUGUACUUCGUAUUCGAGAUUAAGGUGUUACAACUCGUGUCUAGCCAUAUGAGCACUCAAAGUAGAGACACAUAGCUAUGUUUCAACCUAUGUAACCCACUAACUUGAGUCAUACAGUCAAGUCACACGCUCAUGUGCUAGGCCAUAUAACUCUCAAAAUGACUUCGCAUGCCCGUGUACUAGCCGUUUAUCUCACACGGUCAAGUUACACACCUGUGUGUCUGGCCACAUGGACCUAAAAUGUGCUUUAAACCACAAGUUUAUCAUUUCCUACUUUUUUGGGCAUUAAACAACUCAAAAAUCAUUCGUAUCCCCAUACAUACUCAAAACACGAUCAAACAUACUCAAAACAUGCCAAAAUAAUCAUCCUAAGUGCCUAACAAAUGUAUCCCCAUUGGUACCACAAUUAUAUCAUCAAAAUAUAUCAUCAAUGCAUCAAUCAAAUCAAAAUUUUAAACAUGCCAAAUUUCAUCAAUUUGGUCUAACUCAUAUCUACCUAAAACAUCAACUUAUAUUCACAUACAUAUAACAAACAUUUGUUCAAAACAACAUGCCAAAUUAUGGCUUCAAAUACAAACAUAUAUUUAUAUACUCAAACCAAUAUUACACUUAUAAUUUCAUUUACAAUCCAUCCACAAAAUAACUUUCAACUUGACAUCUUAGGUACAUGUCAACACAAAAGGUAAACAUCACCAUAUUUGAGAUUGGAAUCGUUGCUGGAUGCUGAAUCGACUAUCAGAAGAAAAAUAUCUAAUUUGUGCACGGAAAACAAAACCGUACGCUAAGUAAAACUCAAUAAUAUUUCUAUAAUUUGAACAUUUAAAGAUAAGAGAAUACAAAAUGCACAAUUGAAUUAUAAACAAGUAUUAAUGUCUAAUAUCACAACUAACAUAUGCCACCCUUUUGAAUUCAUACAUAAUAGCAUAUCAUUUCUUACUAUAUUCAAUUUAUACAUGUUAUCAUAUUCAAUUUAUUUAACAAAUAUCCCAAUUCACACACUUACUAUAUAAAUAACUUUUCACACAUCAAGCCACAAUUUUUUAUACCAUGGCAUUAUCCAUUCAACAUUCAAUUCAUGAGUAUAUAACUUUCUUAUUUAAUCACAACAUACUUUUUUUUUCAUACUUCAAAUCACUAUCUCAUUUUUAAUUCAUAUACAAUAUAAUUCAAUAUCUAUUACAAAACUUUAUUAUUUAAUUACCCUUAUUAACACGGCUCGAACUCAGACGGAUACACGAAUCUAACCAACAUACCAGUAUAGCACCCAGUGCCUCAUCGGAUAAAUCCAAAAUAAUAACUAUGCCCAAUGCUAUAUAAUUUGACAUCCAAUGUCUCAUCGAUUUAAUCGAAGCCAAUUGGCACUCAGUGCCUAAUCGACUCGAAGUCGAAGAAAUCCCUAAACUUUUCCUAUUCGAUGACAUACCAUCUAUAUCUGACUCAGCCAGAUACAAUUAAUAGGAUUUAAUUUUACAUUUCAAAUACAACCAAUAUCCAAUUCUCACAUUUACACAUAUAUUCAUUUCAAUUCAAAUAAUCAAUAUAUUCAUAAUGUAUAUACCAAUUCAAUCCAUUUCAAUCAAUUAUCAAAAUGCGCAUUGAAUCGAAUUAAAACAAUUAACAACUAAGUUCGGAUUUAUAGAAAUACAAAUCGUAGAUUCUGAGCUCUUCGACGUCGAUUUUAUCCUUUCCCUUUUUAAUCGAAGAUUUCAGUACAAUAUUAGUUACAGAAUUAAAAUACAUUAAUUCAACACAAUUCAAUUUCACAUUAACUAUUUAAAAUUUUACUCAAUAUUUACUUAAAUUUUAAUUUAAUUCCUAAAUCGAGACUAAUUUUUAUUCUUCAUAUUUAAUCCUAUAUUUUUAUAAUAAUUUCACUUUAAGCUAAAUUUAACUUCCUAUUUUCAAUUAAAUCUCUAAAUUUUAUUUUUUUCACAAUUUAAUCCCUAUUAUACAAAAUUUACAAUUUAUUCUAUAACUUAAUCCUUUCUUAUUUCUAGCUUAUAAAUUUAUAAAUUUAAUCCUUAAUACUAAAAUUAUCCAACAUUAACAUUUAAAAUCUUAAUAAUUACUAAAAUUUCAACAUGAGUAAGAUAAUAUUAAGCACCAAAAUUCCAAAAAUAUAAAAAUUACAAAAAAAAAUUAAAUUUACUAACCAAUUUAAAUUUAAACCAUAAAAACCCUUAGAUACCAUGCGUCAUUCCUUCUUUUCUUCUUUCUUUUAUUUUGCAUGUCUUUCUCUUCCUUUUUCCACUUACUUUCUUUUAAUCUCUUUUAUUAUUACAUAUAUUAUGUUUUUUUCAUAUAUUAUAUAUUAUAUAAUAUAUGUUUCCAUACUUUUAAAUUUACUAACUAUUAUAAUAUAAAUAUCAUAUUAUUAAUUGUUUUAACUUAUUUACCGUCCACUUAAAAGAAACAAAGAUAAAAUUACUUUUUAAGUCCCUUUAAUUAUUUUUAAAUUAUAAUUUAACUUCUACCCGGAACGUAAUUAGUAAUUAUUUAUUAAAAAUAUUUAUUAAAAAUAUUUAUGAAUCCGAAUUACGGAGUUCUAAAAAUGUACUUUUCGACACUCCUUACUAUAGGGUCAGUUACAGGCGCGACCUGUGACUAUAGGCUGGUCUGUUGUGCUCUAUGGAUAACCUGGAGUGAACGAAACAAAGCUCUUCAUGAAGGAAUCAAAAACACGGGAAAAUGGGCAGUAACAUUGACUAAGAAUUAUCUUCUAGAGUUAGAUGGAUUAGCAGGAAAGGAAAUUACCAGAAGAAAUAUCUUGUCAACAUGGACUCCCCCUAAAGAUCCUUUCAUCCGUAUUAACUUUGACGCUGCUUUUGACCAAAAGGAGUUUAGAUCAAGUUCAGGUGUUAUUGUUAGAAAUGGAAGGGAGGAAGCUCUGCUUACCAAGUCAUCAUUGCAUGAAGGCGUUGAGUCCCCUUUUGCGGCGGAGGCUUUAGCAUGUGCGGAAGCAAUAGCAGUGGGUCGACGUUUGGAAAUCGACACGGUCGAGAUCGAAGGAGAUUCAUUAGUGGUCAUUAAAAAAUGUCAAUCUAAAGAAAAUGACAGAUCUGAAAUUGGCAGUAUUAUUAGAAAUAUCCAUCAACAUGAACGCUACUUCAAAGAAAUUUAUUUCAGGCACAUUUCCAGAACAGAUAAUCAGUCGGCUCAUGUGAUAGCAUCGGAAUCGUUAAAACGGAGGUUGGAGAUUUUACUGGUAAGAGCAAUACCGGAGUUUGCUAGAAGAUCUUUCGGACUAGGUACGCAUCGAGCAAGAGAACUAGAUUGAGUGAUGGUCAUCGAUGAUUGAAUCGGUUAGGAGUGCAGAAAUGGUGAACUCUCAUCAGGAGAUCUGCGCUUGGAAAAUGAAUCGAUAGAGGAACUGAAAAGAUAAUUCUAGAACACAGAGAAGUUGUGGAGUCAUUUCUUGUCCAGGCUGGUUUCGUUUUAUUUUGCUUUUAGUUUCCUUUUUCUGUUUCUUUUGUUUUUUCGGAUUGGGCUUCAUUGUUUGCUGGGUUGCCUUGAUGGGUCAGACUUAUUUUUUUGAUUUGUUUCUUUUAUUAAUCCAGCCCAGUUAUUUAUAAAAAAAAUUGUAUACUCC
rnacentral:lncRNA from 1 species